UUCCUUCGGGUUGAUCAACCAACUGAGAUCAUGUUGAGUCAACCGAAAAAUUGAGAUUGUUGUAGCUGAACAGAGAUGGUACGGAACAUUGGCAGGAGGAGGAGAGGGGUCCAACAGGGAGCGAAGUGCGCGUCUGGAGCUCGCCGGGGCACCAGCCGCCGCGGCCGCUUCUGCUCUCCGAACAGCCUUCAGCGCCCAGCCAGCGGAGAGGCGGGUUCUGGCGGGCCGCGCCGAUCCCGGGGAGCCGAGAGCAGAGUCCAGGCGCCGCCACUUGCGAGAGAGGCAGAACGGCGAGCUGGGAGGCGAGCGGCACACACGUCGACGCGUGCCCACCGGCACUGCGCGCGUCCUCUUCGCUUCCGCGCCACCCCCGCCAGGUGCAGGGGGUGGGGGCGGUCGGGACCGGCGCGAGCGGAGCCGUGCAAGGGCUUCCCCGCCGGAGCUAACGUAGCGGUGGCAUCCAGAGGCGAAGGCGGGAGCGGCCGCCUGCGGAGGGCACCGGGCUGCGUGGCCGCCGCUGCGGCACAGGCGCCCGGGCUGGGCGGCGGAGCGCCCGGGGUUCGACGCCGGCCGGAAUCCCUGGGUUGGCCAGGGGGUGCGCGCCGCGGAGGCGGACGCCGGAGCAGGAGGAGGAAGAGGAGGCGAAGGCGGGCGCGGGGCGCUGGCGGACAGGCUGCGGGGCUGCCGGGCUGCCGGGCUGCCGGGGAGGAAGGCUGUGUGUGGUCACGUUGUGCGCUACGUGCUGAGAGCGCGAGUUGCUCUCCGCAGCCGGGCGACGUCAAAGCCGGGUGCGCGGCUCCUCUGCCUGCGCUGCUCCUCCUUCGCCCUGCCUUCCUGUGUCGCCGAGCGGCUCCCAGCCUCCAGCCUGCCCCGCCGAGGCCUCCGCGGCUCCCGGAGCUCCUCGGCCGCCGGAGCCCCUCACUUAUUCCUGCCGCCGCUGUCGGCCAGCCACCGCCUGAGACCCUGGCUAAGAAAAUAUGACAUAGGUUACUUGGAGGAGGAAUUGGCCAAUCAACCAAGUCUGUUCUCCAGUAUGUGCAUGAUACUCCAAUCCAGCCUGCAUGGCAGAUGCAAUGUUGUGGAGGGAAUCAGAGGAUGGUCCGAGACCCACCCAAAGAAGUAGGAUAGAAAUGAGGGUGAAAAAAAUCCAAAAUCUGGAGAUGUGGCUGAGUCAGAGAAAUUCAGAACAUCAAUGGUAAAUCUGUUUUCUUUCUUACUACAAUACAAAUACUGGGUCUAUUAUGUUAUUUACAUUUAUUUCCUGUUUCUUUGCCAGCCAAUUAAAUUACACAGUCUUCCAUAAACAGUACAGCCUGUCCAGUUUGUAAAAACAAAGUGAAAGGCAGUCUCUGGGACUUCUGCACAGUGACUUGCAGCUCCACACUUCUGUGUGCUCUAUUUCUCUUGAUUACAGAUUCCUAGCCCCAACUGCAGCUUGCUGGGGCUCUAACUCCCCUUGAGAGGUGCCUCAGUGAGCUGCAUACCUGGACCCCUGGCCUGGCCCUUUUGUCCUGGGGCUAAACCUACAAUACAGUUUGAUAAAACCCGGAGAUUGGAACCGCCCUGUAGUGCACAAAAUCUUCGAUCCUUCCUGAUCAAAGUUUUAUAGCCAAAUCUCUGAACAUAGUUUAAUUUCCUCCUAGACAU
ensembl:lncRNA